rnacentral:rRNA from 1 species
UACAGAGGUGUCAAGCGUUGCUCGGUAUCACUGGGCUUAAAGGGCGCGUAGGCUGUGCGGUACGGUUCGGGUGAAAUCCCUCGGCUCAACCGAGGAACUGCCCGGGCGACGGCCGCGCUGGACUGCAUCAGGGGACGAUGGAACUCCCGGUGGAGCGGUGAAAUGCGUAGAUAUCGGGAGGAACGCCGGUGGCGAAAGCGAUCGUCUGGGGUGCAUGUGACGCUGGAGGCGCGAAAGCUAGGGGAGCAAACGGG